rnacentral:misc_RNA from 1 species
GAUGAAGAACGUAGCGAAAUGCGAUAAGUAAUGUGAAUUGCAGAAUUCAGUGAAUCAUCGAAUCUUUGAACGCACAUUGCGCCCGCCAGUAUUCUGGCGGGCAUGCCUGUUCGAGCGUCAUUUCAACCAUCAAGCCCCCGGCUUGUGUUGGGGACCUGUGGCUGCCGCAGGCCCUGAAAACCAGUGGCGGGCUCGCUAGUCACUCCGAGCGUAGUAAUACAUCUCGCUCAGGGCGUGCUGCGGGUUCCGGCCGUUAAAAGCCUUAUUUACCCAAGGUUGACCUCGGAUCAGGUAGGAAGACCCGCUGAACUUAAGCAUAUCAAUAAGCGGAGGA